AUGCCACUCGAGGAACACUUAGUUGAGCCCCUUCGCGACGCUGCUGCAGCUCUCCUCUCCCUCCUCCCCUCCCACCUGCGGGGAACCGGGGUCCCAACCGCCCAGACUGCGUCAUGGAAUCCGCUCGCUCCUUUCAAGUAUAUCGCUCCACCUUCUUCCUCGGGGUCGACUCCUGAUUGGUGUGGUCACUCAGCCGCCCUCUCCGCCCCGCCGGUGUGGCUCCGCCCCCAGGACGGCCACAGGCUCCUCCUCCCCGUUCCCCGCCUUGCGCUGCUCCUCCAGCUAAUCUACUGGCGGCGCGCGGAGAAGUUCUGGGCAAAGUACCGGGAACUGGCCGCGCGACCGCAGCGCCACCGAGCCAGGCAGGGCAGUGCAAGGAGACCCCAGCGCAAGGCGGCCGGUGCACGGCGCGGGCUCGGGCCCCGCUGUCCUUCAGCGAGCGGCCGUCCCCGCCUCGGGCUCCUGCGGCUGGCACGGGAACUGUCGGCUGCGCGUUGCGGAGGGACCGGAGAAGCGGGCUUUGCCGCCUCCCGAGUGUGUGGACCAAGCCCGAAGCCGCACACCGGAGAAGUUGGCGGCGUCCCCGGCGGCGGAGCGUGCAGACGCUAAGGAAACAAAGGAACGGCAUACGAAACAAGUAUUUCCUGAUGAACAACCAAUACCUCCGUGAACAAGGCUAAGAACAGUUCAUAUGUGGCCCUGAGCCAGCAACACAUGGGGAAGUUAUGUGAUAUCAUGGAAAACCAUCGGACUAGGAGUUAGAAAAUCUGGGUUCUCAUCCUCACUCUUCCACGUACAGCUGUGUGUCAUCAGGCAAGCCCAGCCUCUCUGGGUCUCAGUGACUGGUCUUUAAAAUGAAACGUGUAGACUACACGAAUUAUAACAUCUUAACAAAGGCCAGAGAACUUUCUCUACUGACUGGUUCUAACCAGUGGCCAGUUUUCCCAUUACCUAGUGCUUCCAUGUCUCCUCUUAAGCUUUAUACCACUCUGUGAGGUUGGAUUAGGAGAGGUUUGCUUUCCUCUUUUUGGAUACAGAGCCUAUUUAAAUUAUUGUCAGCAGAAAUCACACUGAUGAAUUUAUUUAAUCAGGGGCCCUUUGUCUAAGCCUAGGGGUCCCUAAACCCUUAAAGGCUCCAUGGAAGGCCUUCAUGGAGCUGAACCUCUGGGGGCUGGGCAAAGCCAUAGGUUUGUUCUUCUGGAAAGACUGCAUUCUAACUUUCAUUAGACUUUUAAAGAGGUUAGUGACCCAGGAGAGGUUAAUGAUCUACUGCAAUGAUGGCAGGUGGAUUAUUUUCCUUUUCCCCUCAUGGGUAACAGGCCUUUGGAAGUACACUGCAUAUAUAUUGUUUUUAAAUAAAUGAUGUGAUCUUUUUUUUUUACCUGCAACUCAACUUCCCUCAUUCAUAUUGAAAUAGACCUCCCACUGAAGCCCAUGUCUUUUUUGCUGUCAGCAAUAUAAGGUUUAUUCUGUGUCUGCUGGCG
rnacentral:lncRNA from 1 species